UCCCAACCUAAUAUGUAACAAAAAUAACCUAAUAUUUGAAUUGAGAUUAAGGGUUCGUUUGGAAUUGCGGGGAGAUUGCGUUAUGUGCGAUGGAAAAAUAUGUUGAAAAAAAUAUCCUUUUGUUUUACGUAGAGUGAUGAGUCAGUAACGAUAUAUUUUCCACGGUCCCACCGGAUAACGCAGAAGCAUAUCUCUAUAUAUUUUUUUCUCAACUCUAUUUUAUCUAAUAGCGUUGGAUAGAGCUCAAUAUCAAACUAAACCUAAAUAUUCAACACAUUUUAUAUAAUUUUGAGCCACUGGCUUAUAAGAAUAAUCUCAAAUUAUCUAUCAUUGGACCUAUUAAGAGAAGUGCUAGAAUUAACAAAAACGCUUGAUGUUAUUAAUUAAACCAAAUGUCAUAAUAAAUGAUAUUAUUUGAUACUAAAGAUUAGCAUGCGGGAUUAUUUUUUUAGAUGUUAAUUACAUCAGGAGUCAAAUAUAAAAUAAUGCCUUUUCUUUCACCUGGCUAUUAGUUAGGGAUUUGAGCACCCACUGUAGUUAGCGAGAUUUUAAGUUUAGCAUGUGAUUGGUUACACGUA
rnacentral:lncRNA from 1 species